CGUAGGUAACCUGCCUGGUAGCGGGGGAUAACUAUUGGAAACGAUAGCUAAUACCGCAUAACAGCAAAUGUUGCAUGACAUUUGCUUAAAAGGUGCAAUUGCAUCACUACCAGAUGGACCUGCGUUGUAUUAGCUAGUUGGUGGGGUAACGGCUCACCAAGGCGACGAUACAUAGCCGACCUGAGAGGGUGAUCGGCCACACUGGGACUGAGACACGGCCCAG
rnacentral:rRNA from 1 species